rnacentral:rRNA from 1 species
GACGAACGCUGGCGGCGUGCUUAACACAUGCAAGUCGAACGGAAAGGCCCCUUUGGGGGUACUCGAGUGGCGAACGGGUGAGUAACACGUGAGUAACCUGCCCUUGACUUCGGGAUAACUUCAGGAAACUGGGGCUAAUACCGGAUAGGAAUCCUUGCUGCAUGGUGGGGGUUGGAAAGCUUCGGCGGUUUUGGCUGGACUCGCGGCUUAUCAGCUUGUUGGUGGGGUAGUGGCUUACCAAGGCUUUGACGGGUAGCCGGCCUGUGAGGGCGACCGGCCACAUUGGGACUGAGAGACGGCCCAGACUCCGACGGGAGGCAGCAGUGGGGAAGAUUGCACAAUGGACGGAAGCCGGAUGCAGCAACGCCGCGGGCGGGAAGACGGCCUUCGGGUUGUAAAACGCUUUCAGCAGGGGCGAAGCUUGUGGUGACGGUACCUGCAGAAGAAGCACCGGCUAACUACGUG